UAUUACAAUAUUUAUCUAGUUCAUAGUAAAAUUCGCUUUUGAAAUGAACAGGAUUUCCGAAACGCAGCCCUCGAAUUCCGGCACAUCACAGAAUAGAGCCUGCAUCGCCGGUUAUUCCGAUUUAAUAAAGGCUGCCUCGAAACAGGAAUUGUUUAGAAAAUAUUUUUGCGCAUUAUUCGUCCAGUCAAUUAACUUCGAUCUAUACUCCUAGUCUAGUAUUGGAGAUGACAAUCUAUGGGAUGACACAGCACUUAUCGAUGCAUAUAACCAUGCCAUAAAAGAGUACAAUACAGCUCAUACUAAGCAUUCUACUGCUGAAAGCCCUGUAGAAGAAGAUGACAUUAGCAAAUGCAGCUCUUCAGUAAAAAAAAAGGAAGUUGCGGAAGAAUCUGUUCAGAGAACACCUGCCAAAAUAAAGAAAAGCCGAAUGAAAAGACCGAGCCAAUUGGAGCAGGAGCAAAAUAUUCAAGAUUGUGAAGCAGACGCUCAAUCUGAUAAAGGGUUUUGCCCACAGUACGCGGAUUGUCGCCCUAGUUCAAAAAAACAAAAAAAAGGUAAACAACACUUUCAUAAAGCUGAAAAAAUACGCCCAUCGCUAAACGGCUUUUCUACAUAUGGUCCUGAAUCUACAUACCAGGAAAAAUGCUCGGAUUCUUCUGAGGAUGAAGAAGACACUGCAGAUGAUGACGAACAUUCGAGAGCAGCUGAUACAAGCACGAAUACUAAAAACUUGAAAAAAAGAAAACGCCAUAACUACCAAGAUGUGAACUAUUACGGGCAAAAUCAAUACUUACCGAACUUUAGUGAUCAGAUGCCGCCUCCUUAUGCACCCUCUUACUUUGACAGCUCCGCCAGUUUUCCUCCGCCAGCUUUCAAUUUUUGUUCAUUUCCCUCUUUCAAUCCUUGGAAUAUGAACAGAUAUAACAUGCCUAACACCCAAGACAACACGUCCAUGCUGUGGGCAUAUUACUAUUACGGAUUUGCAAUGGGAAUGUACGAGGCCUUAAAAACUUUAAAGCAAGGCGAAUAAGUUAAAAAUGACCAGUUGUAAAGCUUUUGACAAAUUCCAACAAUUUUAUGAGAUACAAUAAUGUAUUCAUAAUGGCUCUAUUGUUCUAUGAUUCUUCCUUAUUUCAUGUUUUGAUCUUCGUGGAUUCCUGUAUAUACAACGCUAAUCUAAACCUAGCGCUGUCUAAUAAAAAAUGUAGCU